GAUUCCAUUUUUUUUUCUCGUCUAAAUCAAUCGAUUCAUUCUCCGGCAAACCCUAGUUACUCCUACGUCGUUGCCGAUUUCAGGUAGCCCAAUAGCAACAAUAGGACUACAACCCUCUCCGUAGCUGUUCUAGUUUGUUGACGGAUCGGCGGCCUCAAUCUUCUAGACGCAGCGCUCUUCUUAGAAGAAUAGAUUAAAACCUAGGAUCACAGGUUUGAUGUUGAUCAAUUGGAUCCCAUGUAUGGGGAAAGGUGAUUUUUUGACACUUUCCCUUUGUCAUUUAAUCUUUAUUGUUCGGUUAUGUAGUCUAAGAUUGAAACACAAUGAAGGUUUCAAACCCCCAGGAGCACCUCCAAUCCAUUUACCUAUUAUGCUUUAAAUUUGUCUUCUUUGUUUUACAUUUUGAGAAGUCAUAAAGCUGUUGUUGAAUUUUUUUGGAUUUAAGGGCAGCAACUGUAUCUUUCAUCCCCCACCUCUACAAAGAUUGAUGAUGAAUCUCUUCCUGGAUUCCCAAAUAAUGAAUCGACUUUUACCAUUCUACUAGUCUAAUAUUUAAAAUAUUUAACAUUUAGUUUGUCAAAUUAUAUGCACUUGUUUUUUGCGUCCUAAUGAAUCUAGCAACAAUCCUCCAAAGAAGGGACAUGAGGCUGGAAUGAAUUUGAGUCCAAUUUCGUAAUGUAUAUGGGGUGGUCUGCCCUAUGGCAAGAGGAGACAUGGUUUUAGAGGUCUAGGCAUGUUGUUUUAGGAUCAAAUGGGAACAUCUUCUAUGUGCCUAUGAUUUCAAUAGCAUUUUUCUUUUGAUUGGGAACACCUUAUAUGCUCUUGCCUAUGAUUUCUACUCAAUCUAGGUGGUUCUUAUUGGCAUUUUUUUCUUUUUUUGUGGGUAAGAAAUUAGCAUACAAGUUCUUUUUUCCUUAUAUGAUUUAGGAGUCUAAGUGGGUUAAUAUUGUGGAAGUUUUGUUCUACACAUAGGAUUGAGGUUGUAACUAGAGAUUAUUUACAAACCUUCUUUGUACCUACUUAUUUCUGAAUAUUUUAGGCUAAUGAUUGUUUAAGAUUGAGAUCCGCAAAAGUUGUUAAAUGGCGCUAUAUCAUUGUAUGUGUUCCUUUAAUAAUUCGUAUGAAAGCAUCUGCGGGUUUUGUCAGCGCAAGUGCACCUUAUAUGCUCUUGGCUAUGAUUUCAACUCUAUCUAGGUGGUUCUUAUUGGUCUUUUUUUCUUUUUUUCUUUUUUGUGGGUAAGAAAUUAACAUAAAAGUUCUUUUUUCCUAAUGUGGUUUAGGAGUCUAAGUGAGUUAAUGUUAUGGAAAUUUUGUUCUACAUAUAGGAUUGAAGUUAUAAGUAGAGAUUAUUUACUAAACUUCUUUGUACAUACUUAUUUUUGAAUAUUUUAGGCUAAUGACUGUUUAAGAUUGAGAUCCGCAAAAUUUGUUAAUUGGCGCUAUAUCAUUGUAUGCGUUCCUUUAAUAAUUCGUAUGAAAGCAUCUGCGGGUUUUUCCAACGCGAGUGCACUUUGGAUGGUUUGCGAUCUUGCGCUUGCAUGUUGACUUCAAACUAAUUUCCGAGAUCUUAGAAAUUACAUUCAUGUAAAACACGUUACCUGGAUGGAUUAUGGCCUUGGCAUGUCUUGUCUAUCUCUUAUGCUUAUGGCUGAUGUUUGAAGAAACUCAUCACUAGGAGAAGGUAAACUCAGUGCCGCAGCAGGCCAACAACGGUAUGUGAACUAGAAAAGUGCGAGAUACAAGUAUUGAACUAGAAAAGUGCGAGAUACAAGUAUAACUAAAUAAUUUAGUUAGUAUUUAUGCCCAAGUUGCUUGAUGAAUAGUUUCAAGGCGAUAAGCGUAGUGUUGAACAUGUAGUGAGUCGUCUGUGUGUUUUCUUGUCGGUGUUGUGUUUGAUGAAUUUGAAUUUUUUUAUUUGGUCUUUGAAUUUGUCCAAAUUCUGGUUUUUAUUUCAAUGGUUUUACUUGAUUUUGAUGGAAUUUUGGUCAUCCACUUCUGAAUUUAUAGACUUUAACUUGAAAGGGUUUCAUUAGAAUGUUGAUUGUAUUAAAUGUCCACUCCAUGUUUAAUUGCUUCUAUCAUUCAACUUUUGAUUGUUUAUUAGUGGUAAUCAUAAUUGUUAUAUAUAUAUAUAUAUAAUACUAUGUAUAUAGAAUGGAUGGCUAGCAGAUAUUAAUAUUUUAUUUCUUUAUUUUAUUCUAUUUUUUCUCUUUGCACAAGGACAAUCUCCGUGCCAUAUAUUUAUCUAGUGAAUUUGGUUGUUCGGUUACCCUUUUUUUUUAUGUGAUUAUUUCAAUAUUACAUGUACUCUUAUAUUUACUUCAUUCUAAUUCAAAUAAUUCCUAGAAGCCAAGACUACUUAGGUUCAAAGGACCUUAAAGCGUCAUGUGUCUUAUCAUAUUGUGGCUCUUGUGAUUUUGUUGAAUUGUAUGUAUUUAAAUGGAUUAGCCAGAACAACAUAGCAAUUAAUUAAUCAAUUUUAAUUAUCAUUCACAAUACUUUAUAAUUCUAAUGUGAAAAAUAACAUUUUAAUAAACUUAAAUUUAUUGUUACAUAGGCAGAUACAUAAAAAAAAAAAAAAAUAGAACCAUUUUCGAUAUAAAUUUACCAUAUACAGACACAUUUCUUUAAUGGUUUCUAUUUGGAUGCUUACAAUUUUUUAUUUUUAUUCGAUUUGUGCCAAUACAAUUCUCUUUUCUAAAUGGAAUUAUGCCUAUAUUUAAAAAAGUACAUCCAUAUUGUUAGCAUUUAAAAUUGUCUGAAGCAUAAGUAACUCAUAAAAUUUAUUCUUCCAAAGUUUUAUAUCCAAACAACUUGCUAGAUUUUGCAGUAUCAUAGGUCUAUUGUUGAUACAAUAGUUUUUGCGUGUUCGGCACCGAACAUGUAAUUUCUAUCCUUUUUCUCAGCAUGGUUUUGCUUACUGUUUGAUGUUUUGCUUCUAUAUUUCAUAAUCGCACCUGUAUAUGGAUACCUCACAUAACCAUCUUGUAGAUCAAAAUAAUGCCUUGUAAGGUUUGUAUCCCCACCUUUUACUCUUUUUGCAAAAAGCUUCAUUGUAUGCCUAAGAUUCCUUGAAAUUUAUGCAGAUGUCUAUGCAAAUUAUAUUAUGUAACUUUGAUAGUGUGUGAUAUUAUUAUUGACUACCAUUUUCUUCUUGGGAUGUGUAUACUUUGAUAGUGUGUGAUAUUAUUAUUGACUGCCAUUUUCUUCUUGGGAUGUGUAUGUAUCCUAAAAUUCCAUUGAUAAGUCUUCGUUGAUCAGUUAUUUGCUUAAAAUCCUAAGAAGGAUAUUCCUUAGAUGAGGGCUGUCAUGGUUGAAAUUAAAGAUAUCCAUGCUAAAUUGUCUAAUUGGAUGAAUUCUUCCAUUGGAGCAUUAGUACGAGCCUUUGUAAGGAUACAAUUAUCUCUAUAAAUUGUAUGGCAUGUUGUCUGGUGAUGUACUUCAUGCAAUUAAUUGUUUUCAUGCAUUGUAGGGAACUAGCUGUACCAAAAAAUGUCAAGAUUCCAAGGAUUGAGGUUCAUGAACCACUUAUUGUUAGUUUACGCAUGAAUAUGUGACGGGUUUUAAAGUAAUAUCUAAAAUUUGGUAAAUUAGCAUUCUCUUUUGCUUAUACUUUGUUAGUCCAUAAGAAUGUUGUUAAUAGUUGCAAAAACACUUAUGUAGAUUGGGUCUCGUGUUCUUUUGAUCACCCAUGGCUUGAAAAAAUAUGUUGGUGAGGGGUUCAUGCUAUUCGUCCCUGGCCUAGCUGGUUCGCCACUCUUGUGUUCCUUCUCCGUACUUUUUUCAUUGCAUUGACAUCUGCAUACCAUGUAUAUUUGACCCUGGAUUUAUGUCUUGCAUAUUUUCUAUACUGGAUUGAACACUCUGCCGUAUAAUUACAUCUUUUGAGCUUACUAGAUUGAUCAUUUUGCAUAUAAGUAUAUAGAUUUGGCUUGUUUGCAGUUUAUGUAGUCUUAUGUGUAGUUGACACGAUUGUUAUGCCUUAGAAUCUAGUUGGAUUAUUCUCAUUUUAUAGGUUUUAUGAUGAUUUUUGGAGGGAAUAUGAAAAAACAAGUUGUAUGUUAAUUGUCAUAAAAAAGAUGUUACAAAAACUGUUACAAUUGUAUCAUCUUCAGUCUAUAGCAAAAGUUUAUUUUAAUUGACCGGAGGUAUAUUUUUUGUUGCGAAAAGAUGUUACAAAAAUCGUUCCAAAAAAUAUUGUGAAUAUCAGAAAAUUUUUGCACUGGAUCAAUUGUUACGGUUAUGCUUCAUUACAAAUAGAUAUUUAGUUUGAUUUUUAUUUUUGUUUCAAACAAGAAACCGUUAUGAAAAGAAAAUGUAACUGUCAGAAAAUAUUUGCACCGCGUUAUGCUUUGUUACAAAAAGAAUUAUAUUUUUUGUCACGUACAAAACCGUACGCGCAUUGACCAUCAAUCUUUUGUUAUAACAUUUGUUGCGAGACAGACUUUUUGUUACCCGUGUAAA